rnacentral:SRP_RNA from 1 species
GCCGGGCAUGGCGGUGUGCACCUGGAGUCUCGGCUACGCAGGAGGCUGAGGCUGGAGGAUCUCUCCAGCCUAGGAAUUCUGGGCUGCAGGGCGCUAUGCCGAUCUGGUGCCUGCACUAAAUUCAGCAUCAAUAUGGCGACCACCCAGGAGCUGGGGACCACCCGGGAGCUGGGGACCACCCGGGAGCUGGGGACCACCUGGGAGCUGGGGACUGCAAAGUUGCCUAAGGAGGGGUGAACCGGCCCAGGUCAGAAAUGGAGAAGGCCAAAACUUCUGUGCUGAUCAGUAGUGGGAUCCAGUCUCUCGUAGCCUCUGCACUCCAGCCUGGGCAACAUUCUGAAACCCUGUUU